GACACCCAACAGCUAGCCCCCACCCCAACAACAACAAUCCACUAUUAAUACCCCCAAAUAAACGAAUGUUAACCAAACAAACCAUUUUUCCCCCUAAGUAUGGGAGACAGAAAAGGAACUACGGCGCAAUAGAGAAAGUACCGCAAGGGAACGCUGAAAGAGAAAUGAAACAACCCAGUAAAGUUUAAAAAAGCAGAGAUUAAUCCUCGUACCUUUUGCAUCAUGAAUUAGCCAGUGCUGUUCAAGCGAAACGUGUUUUAGUUUGACAUCCCGAAACUAGGGGAGCUACUCCAAGACAGCCUAUGAAUAGGGCCAACCCGUCUCUGUGGCAAAAGAGUGGGAAGAGCUUUGAGUAGAGGUGACAGACCUACCGAACCUAGUUAUAGCUGGUUGCCUGAGAAAUGAAUAGAAGUUCAGCCUCCCGGCUUCUCUACUCACCUUUGAAUUACCCCAUCUGACACCCCACAGAGAAACCGAGAGGGUUGUCAAAGGGGGUACAGCCCCUUGAAAAAAGACACAACUUUUCAGGAGGAUAAAGAUCAUA
rnacentral:rRNA from 1 species